UACGUAGGAUGCAAGCGUUGUCCGGAAUUAUUGGGCGUAAAGAGCGCGCAGGCGGUUUGUCAAGUCAGAUGUGAAAGAGGCCGGCUUAACCGGCAAGGGUCAUUUGAAACUGUCAGACUAGAGUGCAGCAGAGGAUAGUGGAAUUCCCGGUGUAGUGGUGAAAUGCGUAGAUAUCGGGAGGAACACCAGUGGCGAAGGCGACUAUCUGGGCUGCAACUGACGCUGAGGCGCGAAGGCUAGGGUAGCAAACAGG
rnacentral:rRNA from 1 species